AUUGAACGCUGGCGGCAGGCCUAACACAUGCAAGUCGAACGAGUGGCGGACGGGUGAGUAAUGUCUGGGAAACUGCCUGAUGGAGGGGGAUAACUACUGGAAACGGUAGCUAAUACCGCAUACCAUCAGAUGUGCCCAGAUGGGCUUAGCUUUUUGGUGGGGUAACGGCGAACCAAGGCGACGAUCCCUAGCUGGUCUGAGAGGAUGACCGUCCACACUGGAACUGAGACACGGUCCAGAUUCCGACGGGAGGAGGCGGUGGGGAAUAUUGCAAAAUGGGCGAAAGCCGGAUGCAGCCAUGCGGCGUGUAUGAAGAAGGUCUUCGGGUUGUAAAGUACUUUCAGCGGGGAGGCGUUACCCGCAGAAGAAGCACCGGCUAACUCCGUGCCAGCAGCCGCGGUAAUAC
rnacentral:rRNA from 1 species